rnacentral:rRNA from 1 species
CGCCUYUUGCCCCCAACAUAUAAGAGGUACUGCCUGCCCUGUGACCAUGUGUUUAACGGCCGCGGUAUUUUAACCGUGCAAAGGUAGCGAAAUCACUUGUCUUUUAAAUGAAGACCAGUAUGAAUGGCACGACGAGGGCUUAACUGUCUCCUUCCCCCGCUCAAUGAAAUUUAUCCCCCCGUGCAGAAGCGGGGAUGAAAACACAAGACGAGAAGACCCUGUGGAGCUUUAGACGACUGAUAGACCUGCAUUUAUAAACUUCAUCAAAAAAUUAAAAAAGCCUGAGCUCUAUCAUAUGUGUUUGGUUGGGGCGACCGCGGAGUAAAAAAUAACCCCCGCGAGGAUUGGAUUUAUCAAUCCACAGCCAAGAGUAACACCUCAAAGCACUAAAACAUUUAACCUUAUGAUCCGGCAACUCCGAUCAACGAAUUAAGUUACCCCAGGGAUAACAGCGCAAUCCUCUCUAAGAGCCCCUAUCGACGAGUGGGUUUACGACCUCGAUGUUGGAUCAGGACAUCCUAAUGGUGUAACCGUUAUUAAGGGUUCGUUUGUUCAACGAUUAAAGUCCU